rnacentral:rRNA from 1 species
AACGAACGCUGGCGGCAUGCCUAACACAUGCAAGUCGAACGAGACCUUCGGGUCUAGUGGCGCAAGGGUGCGUAACGCGUGGGAACCUGCCCUUAGGUUCGGAAUAACUCCCCGAAAGGGGUGCUAAUACCGGAUAAUGUCUUCGGACCAAAGAUUUAUCGCCUUUGGAUGGGCCUGCGUUGGAUUAGCUAGUUGGUAGGGUAAAAGCCUACCAAGGCGACGAUCCAUAGCUGGUCUGAGCGGAUGAUCAGCCACACUGGGACUGAGACACGGCCCAGACUCCUACGGGAGGCAGCAGUGGGGAAUAUUGGACAAUGGGCGAAAGCCUGAUCCAGCAAUGCCGCGUGAGUGAUGAAGGCCUUAGGGUUGUAAAGCUCUUUUACCCGGGAUGAUAAUGACAGUACCGGGAGGAUAAGCUCCGGCUAACUCCGUG